rnacentral:lncRNA from 1 species
UCUCCGUUGGUGUCGAUAAACGUGAGUCUCCCUUUCGUCCUAUGACGUCUGGCUGAGUUUUCCUCCUCUCCGUUGGUGUCGAUAAACGUGAGUCUCCCUUUCGUCCUAUGACGUCUGGCUGAGUUUUCCUCCUCUCCGUUGGUGUCGAUAAACGUGAGUCUUCCUAUUCGUCCUAUGACGUCUAGUUGUACCUGUCCCCUUGUGGAUUUACCUCUCCUAGUUGUCCGUCGGCAGCUAGUUGUGAUUUCUUUUCCCAUUCAUCGUCAUUGCGAUGUCUG